CGGGAAGCGAAAAAAAAAGAUACAGUACUGUAAUGCGCAUGCCUACAAAAUGGCCUACAAAACAUCCGGUUUCAUUCGCAUGAUCUUAAUGAACGGACAUUGUGAUAAAAUAGAUAUUGUAUGUACCUAUUGCAAAUGAUAUUUCAAUAUUUUAAACCAUGAUCGCGUGUUUUAAACUACACGUGAAAUUACACAAGGAACAUCGGGAUCUUCAAACACAAUAUUUAUAAUUAAAUUAUUUUGUAACCCUCUAUUACAAAAAUACAAUAAACUACAUUUAGUUUGUA